CUCUACAAAGAAUGCCAGCCUGAGUCUGGAGCUGGGGAAGGAAGGGAACAGCAGCAAAAUUUCAAGGACAACACAGCCUUCUCUGAUGGCAGAGGUAGUCUAGAGCCAAUAGGCAUCGCUGAUCUGAGGCUGGAGGAGUUCUCACCCUGCCUCACUAAACUAUUCAGACCACGACUUGGGUCUUCCACUGCUGUUUCAUAGAAAAUAAUUUUACUCCUACCUCCAUCUGGACCUAUCUUCAGAUACUUCGACAUACUUUCAAAGAUUUCAACUGACUGAGAAAAAUAACUUAAGGACAAAUGGCCAUAGGAGGAAAUAUCAGCCUGCUCCACUAAUGUGUUGAGUAUUGUGCAACCCAUUUUUUGUACUUUAAAAGUGUUUAAAUGAACGUACAAACCAGGAACCUGGGCAAAUAAUUUGAUAAAAUUAAAUGUUCAGAGGGGA